AUUGAACGCUGGCGGCGUGCUUAACACAUGCAAGUCGAACGAAGUGGCGAACGGGUGAGUAACGCGUAAUCAACCUGCCCUUCAGAGGGGGACAACAGUUGGAACCGACUGCUAAUACCGCAUACUGAAGGUGGGGAUUGCGUCUGAUUAGCUAGUUGGCGGGGUAACCGCCCACCAAGGCGAUGAUCAGUAGCCGGGCUGAGAGGAUGAACGGCCACAUUGGGACUGAGACACGGCCAAGACUCCUACGGUAGGCAGCAGUGGGGAAUCUUCCGCAAUGGACGAAAGUCUGACGGAGCAACGCCGCGGGAGAGAUGACGGCCUUCGGGUUGUAAAGCGCUGUUAAUCGGGACGCGGUACCGGAAUAGAAAGCCACGGCUAACUACAUGCCAGCAGCCGCGGUAAUUC
rnacentral:rRNA from 1 species